rnacentral:rRNA from 1 species
CGGGGCUAAUACCGGAUAACACAUGAAACCGCAUGGUUUCAUGAUGAAAGACGGUUUUGCUGUCACUUAUAGAUGGACCCGCGGCGUAUUAGCUAGUUGGUAAGGUAACGGCUUACCAAGGCAACGAUACGUAGCCGACCUGAGAGGGUGAUCGGCCACACUGGAACUGAGACACGGCCCAG